rnacentral:rRNA from 1 species
GACGAACGCUGGCGGCGUGCUUAACACAUGCAAGUCGAACGGUAAGGCUCCAGCUUGCUGGGGUACACGAGUGGCGAACGGGUGAGUAACACGUGGGUGACCUGCCCUGCACUUCGGGAUAAGCCUGGGAAACUGGGUCUAAUACCGGAUAGGACCAUGGUGUGGAUACUGUGGUGGAAAGUUUUUUCGGUGUGGGAUGGGCCCGCGGCCUAUCAGCUUGUUGGUGGGGUAAUGGCCUACCAAGGCGGCGACGGGUAGCCGGCCUGAGAGGGUGGACGGCCACAUUGGGACUGAGACACGGCGCAGACUCCUACGGGAGGCAGCAGUGGGGAAUAUUGCACAAUGGGCGGAAGCCUGAUGCAGCGACGCCGCGUGGGGGAUGACGGCCUUCGGGUUGUAAACUCCUUUCACCAUCGACGAAGGGUUUCUGACGGUAGAUGGAGAAGAAGCACCGGCUAACUACGUG